rnacentral:rRNA from 1 species
GCCUUGUACACACCGCCCGUCACACCAUGGGAGUUGGCUUUACCCGAAGGCGUUUCGCUAACCGCAAGGAGGCAGACGACCACGGUAGGGUCAGCGACUGGGGUGAAGUCGUAACAAGGUAGCCGUAGGGGAACCUGCGGCUGGAUCACCUCCUUUCUAAGGA